GCUGUGUAAUCACCGGGUGAAGCUCCGAUGUCGUGAUCUGCUCUGAAUUUACACGGUUCUGUCUGUUGUGGUGGGUGGUUUAACUUUCGGUUGUGUACUGCAGUGGUCUGCAGAUGGGGUCUAUUUUAACUUGUUUGUUAAUGGAACUACUGAAUGAAUACCAGGCAUCCAGGAAUUGCCAAGCUUGUCUUUGUUUCGCCUGUCCUAUAUCGUAACAUUGCCCAAGUGAAUUGGUGCCCUUCAUUAUCCUGAAGAAGGCCUUAUGCCCGGAACGUCGAACCUCCUGCUCCUUGGAUGCUGCCUGACCUGCUGCGCUUUUCCAGCAACACAUUUUCAGCUCUGAUCUCUAGCAUCUGCAGACCUCACUUACCCCUGAGAGUCAACCAUGUAUUGCUGUGGGUCUGGAGCCACGUAUAAGACAUCCUCAUUGAACAAUUUAAAUUGCAGAGAGAGAAAUUUGGUACAAGUUGUUGAACACUUGUCUCAUCAGCAGUAACUCAGACUCCUAUGCUUAAAGAUCAUUCCCUCAGAAAUAUUGGAGCCAUUCCUGAUGAAGGGCUCUGGCCCGAAACGUCAAAUUUCCUGUUCUUUGAAUGCUGCCUGACCUGCUGCGCUUUAACCAGCAACACAUUUUCAGCUCCGAUCUCCAGCAUCUGCAGACCUCACUUUACUUUCUUCACAGAUGCCACUUAACUUGCUAAGUGUUUCCAGUAUUUUUUUGUUUUCAUUCCAAAUAUAUUGUUUUCA